rnacentral:rRNA from 1 species
UACGUAGGGGGCGAGCGUUACCCGGAUUUACUGGGCGUAAAGAGCGUGUAGGCGGCUGGCCAAGCGUGAUGUGAAAUCUUCGGGCUUAACCCGAAAACUGCAUUGCGAACUGGUCUGGCUAGAGUGUGUGAGAGGGUAGUGGAAUUCCCGGUGUAGCGGUGGAAUGCGUAGAGAUCCGGAAGAACACCGGUGGCGAAGGCGGCCCGCUGGGCUGUUGCUGACGCUGAGGCGCGACAGCGUGGGGAGCAAACAGG